rnacentral:lncRNA from 1 species
AAAUAUAAAUAGAUUUAAAAGAAUUUAUAUAUAAAAAAUAACAUGGAAUUAAUAAUAUUCAUAGAAUACAACUAACUUUUACAUAGAUAUAUUAAUAUAAGGGUAAUUUAAACUAAAGAUUAUACAAAAAAAAAACUUAAAACAAUAUGAUAUAAAAGAGAACUUCAAAAUAAUAAUUUUAUAAAAAAACAAAGUAAAAUUAUCAAAAAAAUUCAAAAAAUAUAUAAAAAAUUAAAAAAAUGAAUGUUAAGUGAAUUUUAAAAAAUGAUGAACUAUACAAAUUAAAAAAAAAAACUCAAUUAAAAUAAAAUUAAACUAAAAGAGAUACUUAAUAAACAAAAUACCAUUGAAAUUAAAAUAGGAACUAAAGCGCAAUGCGCGCGAAUGCCCAAGGAUCAAAACUGGAGAUAUUCUAGCUCCCAAAACACAGCGUUUAGGCGCGGACCAUAUUGGAUUUAUGCCCAAAUUACGGAGACAAAUUAAAAAACAAAGAAAAACAAAUAUGGCUCAAUUGAAUGAUAGCACAACAGGGAAGGAUUUAUCGUGUAAUUAACCCUUAAAGACCAAAUGCGCGGAUCCUUGCCGUGCAUGGAUCGGGUCAUCGGGUUAUGGCUCCUUAAACGUUGUCGUUUUGUAGCCAUUGAAAUUGGCUUAAAACGACGUCGUUUCGUACAUUUUAUAAAAAAACAAAAUUAAAAGAAACCCUAAACUAACAUUUAGCCAUUUGAAAAAGAACCAAAACAAAACCUAAAACCUUUCCACCUCUCUUAUUCGGCCAAACUAAAAGGCUUUGCCACUUUGCCUCCAUACUCGGCGGACGGUAACAUAUGAAGGCUUAUCCUGACCUUUUUCAACCGCAAAUCUGAGGGUCUUGCUAGGCUUAACCUCAGUCCUCAUCUAAACUUCGAUUACCACGAAGCAAACAAGGAUUCGAAGCCUUUAAAAAGAUGAGUAUCCAUAUUCCUAUUGAUUUCUUUUUUGUUUUUACAUGCAGGAGCAAAGAUAAAAGCGAGAUUGAAAUAGAAAAAAAAUCUAAGAUCACCUUUUAAUUUUUGGUUGCUUUUUGUAUUUCAGUAUGCGUAAACUUUACAGUACAAACGAUGGCUUUUUUAUAGCCGAAAAAAUAAGAAUUAAAAUUACAAAAAACCAAUUUUAUUUUCUUUUUUGCUAUUUUUUUACUGUAUUUGAUGCUGUCACAUUUUGUUAUUUUUUCUUCUCGCAGGUUUGACUGUACGGAGGAGAAGGCUGAACAGAGGCGCGCGUGGAGGUCCUGCGGCGCAAGUGACCUAGGGUUUCUGCCGAAUCUUCAUUGGUAUUUUGGGCCUGGGGUAUUUUGGGUUGUUUGGGUUAGUUGGGUUAGACUUAGUAUUCGGGCUUGGGUUAGAUUUAAUGUUUGGGCUUUUAAUUUAGUUUAUAAUUUGGGCCUGGAAGUUUGUAAUAGGACAUUGGACUCUUAAAAGUUUAUUUUGGCUUAUUAUUUAUUUGGUUUUAUUUUUGUAUGAGCUAGUAAAAAUUGUAAAUGGACUUUUAUUUAUUAGGGGUUUUUUUGUUUUAAUGAUUUUAUGGGCCUGGGCGAAAUGGGCCUUCUACAAAUGGCAUGUAUAAGUUAAUAAAGUAAAUGUUAAUGUGAAAUGAAUGUAAAGUUAGCCAUUGGUAUGGCUAAAAAAUCUUGGUAAUUGUAUGUGACGAGGUUAUCUUAUGGAUAUGCAUGAAUCUAUUUUGAAAAUAUGUUGAAUUGGAUUGGUUGAUUUGGAUUGGUCUCGGUUUAAAAUUUACAGGGAAGGUUAGAUAUUUAUAAAGGGGUUAUAUUGAAUUCAUAAUUUUUUAGGGGUUUUGUGAAAAAUUCCCUAUGGUUUUGAUUUAAUCUCGAUUUGGUCUUGAUGUAUGUUUUGGGUUUCGGAGACCCAUUUAAGGGACGUCAUAACAUAUUUCGGCAAAUAAAUAGUAUUUAACUCGUAAUAAUGAAAAAAUUAAUUAGGUAAACUCCGGUAAUUCCUCGUACUCUAUUUCGGCAACGAAUACGGGUAGGGGUGUUACACAGGGCACGACCCUCAAGAUAAAGCUUCACCGUUCAUACCUUGUCACCAUCAAGUGCUUUCUCCUCAACGAAAUACUGUUCCAGUUUCGACCACUAACCUAAGAAAUCAGUGCCAUCGAAACAAAGGCAUUCCAACCUAUAGAUACAAUCCUGAAGGACCCGGGGUUCUUGGUGGUUUGGGAUUCGACUGCCCCGUAUUCUGUGGGGGGACGUCCAAACUAUCCUUGGCUGGGAACCCAACGGGUGGUCCUCUAAUGACCCCUUUCGUAUGGCUUGAAUAGUGGCUAUGGUGUUUGAAGCAGUCGUAUUACCCAGGUACUUUUCAAACAACGAGUGCAUCUCCAUUUGAAACUCCUCUUUAAAUCCUUGGAACCAAACCUCCAUUUUGGUGUCCCACUACGAAUCCAAUUGAGAAAGUUUGUUCUGGACUUUCACCAUUUCCUGUUGAAGCACCACAACGUCCUUUUGUAGCCUCGUGGUCACCCCGUCACUGGCCAUCCCUGAUCGUUAGCUUUGAUACCUUUGGUAUGAUUGUUGACAGAAGAGAUAGAGAAGAGACGAUAGAGAGAAAAGACAGAGAGAAUUGAGAGAAAUCUGGCUCAAUAGCAUUCAUUUUUGCAUAACUAUCUUUGGUCCUUGUCACCGAAUAUAAAGCAAAGAAAAUCCAAAUGUAAAUACAACUUUAAAAGUUGGUUAAAACAAACGGUAAAUUAAACAUCAAUUAAUGAAACUAAACGCCCUUUUUAACCAAACCCUUUUACGCAUCAUUUCAUUAAUCUUUUCCUCUAAAACACAUCGUUUUGUCAUGGUUUAAUUUCAGCCUGUGACACAAAUAUGGUGAAUUUUUUUAAAACCCAAAACUCUUUUAAAUAAUGAACCUGUAAUGCCUGCCACUUAAGGGGCUGGAUGCUUGGUUGGAGGGAGGGGAGGGGAAGGGGAAAAGAGAAAGAAGCGUAUAUAAUGCUGACCUUUUCAUGCCACGUGUUGAUUUUUAAUAUGUUGAUUUGUGUUUUUUCAUUGAUCCAAUGAUUUAAGAUAUGUGAAUGACAAGUGAUAGUUGUCUCAUUAAAGUGAUUAUGUGUAACCUCCCCCUACCCGAGACCGUCGCCGGAGUCGAGUAGGAGACAUUACAAAACUUAUCUUAGCACUUAAACAGUUUUCGUAGUAAACUAUCCAUCUGCGUCAUGGUCGCUAAAAAAAUCAUAUCUUGAGUUACGAAACUCAAAAUAUAAUUCUGUAAAUUUUUCCUGAAACUAGACUCAUAUAUCUACUUACUAAUUUUUUUCUAGAAUUUUUUGUCAGACUAAUUAGUACAGUUUAUUAGAAAAAGUCUCCCCUGUUUCAGGAUUCGGCUACUUUGACCCUUGUGCACUACGAAUCAAAUUUCUUCCUGUACAGAAAUCCAAUGACUAUUCCAUUUGUUUCAAUUAAAAAUAGACUCAAUAAGGAAUCCAUACAAAUAAAGUUUGAGUCCUAAUUCUUAAUACAAAAUUUAUGGUGAAUUUCUAAAGUCAGAAUAGGGAAUCCAGAAAUUGUUCUAACCCUGUUUCACCAAAACGUAAAUAUCUCAUAAAAUACAACUCUUUUACCUAUUUUAUUUCUUCCAUAUAAAAAUAGAUUCAUUAAGAUUCAAUUACAAAUUUUAUUCAUUAUCUAAUUCACUUUAUACUAUUUUUGGUAUAUUUUGAAAGUUGGACUACCGCUACUGUCCAAAUCUGUUUUAGUAUAAAAUGUUGAUAACUAAGUUUAUAACAUCUUCAUUUCUUCUCUCUACAAUAUUUACCAACACUUCCUCUUAUUACUCUUCACUAACAUAUCAAAACAUACCAUACUUAAGGUUUUGGUAACAUUUACAAAACAUACCAAAAUAUCACUUAACAACUUAGAUACUUUCAAAAUGACCAAAAGACAUCCUAGGUACAAUGCCAUUUUCCAAAAAGAUAGAAACUUCACCAAUUUGAGUUUGGGGAUUGGCUUGUAUGCUGAGUUCUUAUACUUUCGUACCAAGCCUGUGCACGGAAACAAACCGUACACUGAGAAUACUCUCAGUGGUAUUUCUAUAAACAAUAGCUUAAUCAACUUUAAAACAUGGUAAUUCAAACACAUUAUUGCUAUUAUUCAAUAUCAAUCAGUACUUUAAUAACCUUUACUUUAUUUACCCUUAUUAACAUAACUCGGACACUGACGGAUACACGGAUCCAACCCACACUCCGGGAUAAGCACAUAGUGCUUCAUCGGAAUAAAUCUGGAACUUUAAUAUUAUAGUACACAAAGUACUUCAUCGGAACAAAUCCGAAACUUUAACAGUAGUCGACACAUAGUGUCUCCUCGACUCAAUGUCGGAAUAUCCCAAUACUUCCAAUUCCUAUGACAUGUCAACUAUAUCCGACUAGCCCGACAUUGUUAAUAGGGUAUUCAAAAUCACAUUCAUUUCAAUAUGGUAAAAAUACUUACCUCAUUCACAUUUUCAUACAAUAUAAAUAUCAAAUAUAGCAAUAACGAUUAAGCUUGGUUUAUAGAAAUACAAAUCACUAUUUAUCGAAUUUAAUCGAUAUCUUCGUUCACUUUCUCUUUUCCCUUCUUUGAUGACGUAUCCGGUGCUACGUUUGCUACUAACAAUCAUACAAUUAAAAAUCAUCAAUAUAUUAAUUCAUAAAACACAUUUUCACUUUCUAUCAAACUUUUACAAAAAUUCCAAUUUCGUCCUUUUUCCAUUACUAAUCUUUUUUCUUUAACUUAAGCUUCAUAUUCUCUUUUAAUCAACUCAUUAACAAUUUCUAACUCAUAAAAUUCAUUAUAAAACAUAAAUUUUGAGCUCUAUUCAACUUAGUCCCUAUUUAAACCUAAUUUAGAAAUUCCUUUAACUAAUCACUUCUAACUUCAAUUUCUAUCAAUUUAACCCAUAAAACCUCAAUUUAUUCAACUAAAUCAAUAUCUAAAAAUUCUCUAUUUUUCUUCAUUUUAACCUCAUACAUGUAGAACUUUGAAUUAGGCAUCCAUAAACAUAAAAAUCAUAAGAAAAUGAGCUAAAACAACUUACCAAUCAAACUUUAGGGCCUUAAUCCUCAAAUUUCCCUUUUUUAUUUCUUUAUUUCUUUCUUCUUUCUUUCACGUUUGCUCUCUGUUAGUCUUUCUAUCUUCUUUUUCUAUUUUAUCAAUUUUACUUAUUAUACUAUUAUUAACCUAUAAUAAAUAUAAAAGUAACAUGUGUAAUAGCUAUAACAUAAAAUGUCUUAUAGCUAUUACACAUAUAUACCAACUAUUACACACGUUAUUCAAUAUUAACACACACAUGGCACUUAGGGUCUAAUUACUAGAUUAGUCCCUUUUACUUCUUUAAUCUAUAAUUAAAAUUUUAUUCCUUAUGCAAUUUAGCCCUUUAAACUAAAUUCAAUCUACUUCACUUAAUUAAACACUAAAUAACCAUUCAACUGUAAUUCAUAAAUACUUCUAAUAAAUAUUCAUGAAUAAAUUUCACGGAAACAGUACUCAAGACUCAAUUUCCGAUACCGUAACUUUCGGUUCAUUACAUUAUGUUGUUAAGGAUAGUUGACUUGGGUACCUUAGUUGAGUAGCUCUUGUGGCAGAAUAGAUUGCUAAUUGAGAGUUUGAAAUCCUAUUGUAGCAUAAUAUUAUUUUAUCUACAUGAACUACUAAAAAUAAAUAGUAGUUCCAAUAAAGUAUUAAAUAAGGGGUAUUUUGACUUAGAAAUUUAAUCAAAGUAUUAAAUAAUGGGAAUUGCUAUGUGGGUUAGCUACUAUUUAUAAGCUUUAGAGAGUGGAGUUCAACAAUGCUAUCUUAUUAUUUUUCUAUUAUACCCUCCAUUAAGGCCCUAUUUAUGUCAACGCCUCUGUUAUAUUAAUUAAAUAACUUCCAACACUUAAUCUGUGGCUAACAUUUGCUUGGUGUUAACUUUAAUUUAAUGGUUUUUUACUAAGCUCUAAACCUUAAUAUUUAUAUAUAUUUUUUAUUCUUUUAAAGUUAAAUUCAAUUUUUAACUUUACAAAAUGUUUUCUAUUGAAAAUGUUGACUAAAACAUUCAUUUUUCUUAUGAUGCCGUGAUGUCAACUCACGUGUACUUUGUAUUGGCAUGACGUUAUUUAUCUUUUGCAAUAAAUAAUUUUAAAAUUAUAAGAAUUUAAAAAAAAACAAAAAAAAUUCUAAAAAAAAUACACAUUGAUUAGCAUCCAUUAAAAAUAGCAAUUUAACACUUUUUGGAAAGCAAAUCAUGAAAUUUAACUUAUUUUAUAAGAUUGACGAUUAAAUUUAAUUAAAGAAAUAUAAAAUUUAAAGGUUUUUUUUGGGUAGAAAACUAUACUUUUUAAGAAAGGGAGCUGAAAUAGUCAAAAACAAAAGCUAUGGAGUAGCCAAGAAUUUGAUUCCAUCAUCUUUCUUUUGGUUUAAUCAUAUUUUAAAGCCGAAAGGAGAGACACAUAUACGAGCAUGACUUCAAUUUCAAUGCGGGAUUUAGGGUUUAAAUUUUGACGAAUGGCCAAUGGCAAUGGGAGGGGUGCAAAAGAGGCCCCUUUUUCCUUAGGGUUCAACUGUCUUAUUCCUUUGGUUGGCUAAUGAAACCAUAGCUUCAAAAACAAAGGCAAGAUUUUGAAAGCAAAUUCGAUGGUUAGGGCAAAGAGUAUCUUCAAUAGGUACAUAUUCUUUGCCAGUUUUCCAACCCAUACCGUAUAAUAAAACUAGUAGGGGUGGCAAAAUAACUCGAAAUCAAUCAGACUUUUUUGGGUUUAGGUUGAGGUUAGUUUUUGAUCAAUCUCGCCUCGAAAAAUAUUAUCAAAACAAUUCAGCUUUAGUUUCAUAUAAGAUUUUACGAGAGUUUAAAUGUUUUUCGUAUUUUUAUAAGAAUGAAUUUUGUAAAAUUAAUAUAAUAUAAAAAUAUUUUAAAAUUUUUUUAUUUUUUUAUUUGGAGUCAAAUUUAAGUAUCGUAAAUUUUACAUAAAAUCAAUUCAAAUGAUAUUAAAAAGAGAUUAGAAUAAGAAAAAAACCAGCACGUCUCACCCAAUGGGGUGUGUAGAACUCAUCAAACGGUGCAUAAGCGACUCUACAGUCUCACCAUUGUUCACUUUACUUCAUAAGUUCAUAUAAAUGAGAAAGGCAGAGGAGAUCUUGGACAAAAUCUUAAGUUGUACCAAUAUAUAUAUAUAUAUAUAUCUAAAAGCUACUUCCAAAUAUUUACAUAUUUUAGUUACAAAAUUGUACACAAAUAAUGAUAUUUCUAGUCAAUAAACAACACUUACUAAAUAUCAAUAUUUUUCUAACUGCAUGCAUGAAUGCAACAUUAAUAUAUAUAUAAUAUUAUAAGGUUUUGGAUUGCUUGUUUGUGUUCAGAACUUUGUGGCCUUCCAUGUCUGCUAAUGCUUGAGAAACUUUAGUAAAA